AGACACAAGUCAGGAAGACACAAGGGGUGUCUGACUCACCUGGAGACUAGCCGAGCUGGGGGGUAGGGUGGAGAAGAGCCAAUCAAGUAUGUGUUCUGACCUGUUUUCUCUGGUAGGGACAGAGCAGGUGAGUGAUGAAGGAAAAGUAGAAGUGGGUGAGGGCGGAGUCAUUGUUCUAUGAGUGGCCCAUACCCUAAAUAUCUUCCUUCAUUCCAUUUGGGAAUGAGUCAAGAGGGGCAGAACUACCAACAAAAACAUGGGGUGGGGGUAGGUGGAAUGUAAGAAUACUGUGGGGAAAGAAUGGAAGAGGGUGGGGGAGAAGAUGAAGGAAUUCAGAAGAGGUCACAGAUGGAGACUUCAAAUAGGAAGAAAUAUUAAAAAUAAAAAUCAUGGAGGUUACAACACUUGCAGAAAUGGCUUGGCACUUGAGGCUGCCAAGAAAGGCACCUGUGGUCAGCUUUAGCAAUUUACUCUUCACCUCCUGGGGCUGCCGAGAGCAUGGGGAGAGGAGCCAGACCUGUAUGGAAUCCUCUCACCCCAGGAGCUCUCUGACAGAAAGGAAUAACAUCUGGGAGACAGAUCAUCAGAUUCCGUCUGGGCACCUCACCAAAAUGGAGAGGGUGGGUGCAGAAGGUGGCACCCCCCAAAUUCCCACCUCAAUUCAUUCAAGGUUUGGGCAAGGUUUGGUGAAGGAGGGGUUCGGUCCAAGGGUGGAGGAGUCUGGUAACUGCACUUCAGUGACACCCACUUCACCCUGGGGGUAAGCAGCCCUGGCAUUCCCUCUCUAGAAGCCUGGGAAAUCUCCUCAGUUCCCGGGGAGUCCUUCAGAAAGCUUGUGUCCCUAUCGGUAUGCACCCCAGGGAGGAGGAGGGGGCAACUAGGAAAGGCACUGCUUGAGGGACUGACCACCAAGUCCUUGAUGGAGUAUAUGGGGAGGAUUCGGUGCAAAAGAAGCCCCAGGCUGGAUGCCUAGUCUUCUGGGAGGACACUCUGCUGAGGAGGAGGUAGUGAGAAGAGAAAGCAGGCCAAGACACCCCUCCUGGCUCCCAGCUGACAGCCCUGCCUGCCCAGUCCUCUGAAGAAGCAUCACCAAUGGCCCUUGUGAUGUUGCAGUGGCCUUGGUAGUAUCUGCUGGUUCCUGGGAGGUGGACAAUGGGCAAUGGCUCUGGUUUUGCAGCUGUUACCGCUGCUGUUGUCAGGGACCCAGGGGGACCCCGUAGUUUCACUGGACGGCCGCCCUGGGGACCGGGUGAAUCUCUCUUGCGGAAGGGUCUCGCAUCCUGCCCGCUGGGCCUGGGCGCCUAGCUUCCCGGCCUGCAAGGGCCUGUCCAAAGGACGCCGCCCUAUCCUGUGGGCCUCGUUGAGCGGGACCCCCACGGUGUCUCCCGUCCAGCCCUUUGCUGGCCGCCUACGUGUCCUGGACUCUGGUAUCAGGCGGCUGGAGCUGCUCCUGAGCGCGGGGGACUCGGGCAGCUUUUACUGCAAGGGCCGCGAUGGCAACGAGAGCCGUACGGCGCUUCACGUGCUGGGGGACGGGGCCGAUUGCAGGGCUCCGGGGCCUACGGGGACCCAAGCUCCCCCAGGAUCCGUGUAUCCCCAGCUCCUGAUCCCGCUGCUGCCGCUGGUGGGCGCUGGGCUGGUGCUGGGACUCGGAGCGCUGGGCGUGGUCUGGUGGCGGUGCAGAGCCUGUGAGUUCCUGGGUUGUGGUCGACGCGGUCCAAGGCCGAGGACAACAAGCGAGACAAGAUUGGUGGCUCUCAAACACUCUUAUACGUCCCCUACAGGCGCUGCCCCCUCACCCGCUUGGACCACUACCCAGAUUUGUCCUUCAGCUCUGUGCCCCCCUACAUGGCCCCACUGGUGAAAGCUGAGCCCCAGAGGCCAGUAAAGGAGGAGGAGCCUAAGACUGCAGGGGACCUGGAUCAGGAGCCGAGCCUGCUCUACGCAGACCUGGAUCCUACGGCCCUCAGGAGGCCCCGCCAGUUCUCCCCAGUGGUCUCCAGUGAUGCCUCCACCAUUUAUGCGGUUGUAGUUUGAAGGGAAGCAGUUAUUCCAAACCUCACAAGCUGGGGGCUCCCAGCUCUCCAUAACCCUCCUCUCCUUCUUGGCCCCUCACCUGAAAAAGGCACCAUGGGAUAAAAUGAGCACUAGACUGGGAGUCAGGAGACCUGGGUUCCAGGCUCUCUCUGCCCCUGAUCUUGCUCCUUCCUUACCUCCAUCUCUCCUAUAAGUUCCAUGUCUCCACCACUGAUAUCCUCCCUAAACCUGAUCAAGGCCUGUCUUCCCAUCUUAAGACUCCUAGAUCCUAGAUAGUUGCCCAAUCUCUUCCCUUCCCUCCACAGUCAGGCUCCUUGAACCAAGGGCUUACACUUGUCUCUUCCACUUUCCUCUUCACUCCCCUCCCAUUGCUCAUCUCUCCAUGAAGUGGUCAAUGAUGUCCUAAUGGCCACAUCCAGUAGACAUUUUUUAGCAUUCAUCUGGCUUGGCCUUUGAUUACACCCUUCUUUAAGCUGUUUUUCUUUAAUGAUGGUGUCUUCCUUCUAGACUUCUCUUCCUUGCUCCCUACCCCCACAGUAUUCCCCACCAUUUUAAGUUUCUCCUUUUCUUUAUCUGCCUUCCCCCUCUUCUGGGAAGCUGUCAGCUACAGCCAGUCCUCAGUCCUCACCUCUGCAAAUGACACGCAGAACUCUCUCCAGCUCAGAUCUCAGUUAAGGGAUUUUCAAACUGUCCCUCGGACAUCCCUGCCUGGCUGGCCCUAGGCAUUUAGCAUGCCACAGCAUGUCCAGAACCCAACUCAUUGUCAUCUUCCAAGCCACUCACUUAGUCAUCCUCUGCAUUGCCUCUUGAUCAACAAAGCUGCCCAAGCCAGAAACUGGGAGUCUGCAGAUCUCCUUCCUCUCACUCCCACACAAGUCCUGUCUUUCCAUUUUAAUGUCAGUGUCAAGUCCACAGCCUUCUUCACACCCAGCACCACCAUCUGAAUGUACUCUCCUCAUUUCCUCUUUGGAUUACCCAUAGCCUCACCUCAUCCUCCUACCCUUGCCCUCCUCCUUGAAGCCAGAGGGGUUCUUCCCAAAUGCUAAUGUGCUCCUGACAGCCUGUAUUUCAGAACUGCAGUAUUUCUUUCCUUAGCCUUCAGCUCUGAGCCCAUGGACCUUGGUUUGGGGUACAAGGUGCUACAGUGCUCUGUCUACUUUCCAGGCUUAUCUCUGUCUCUCCACAUGCACACAACAUUCCAGCCUUGGAGGAAUUCUCCCCAGGCUCCAACUAUCCCUUUGCCCAGUGUAAUUCUUUCUUCCUGGGUUACCCCUUUCCCUCCUCCCCACUACCUUCCUGCCUAAUUUUUAUUUAUCCUCAGGACUCAGUUCAAGCGUAGCUUUCUCUGGGAAGCCACACCCUCUUUGCCCACACUUGCAUACAUUUUGAUGCCCUUCUGUCUCUCAUAGCAACAGUGUCCUAGGAAUUGUUCCAUCACGACCUGUAUUUCAAUUUGUAAGAAAUUUUCAUGUACCAUGAGUUCCCUGAUGUCAGGACACUCACCCUUUUUAUAUCACCACUAAACCUCCGUAAAUGAGUCAAUGAAAAUGAA